AGACCAUGGUGAGGGCACUCUUGGAGUAAAUAUUUGAAUCUCUCCAUGAGUUUGCAAAAUGAUUAAUUUGGCUUUUGCCUAAAUUGAAAAAUGUCAUUGCUGAUCUU